rnacentral:pre_miRNA from 1 species
AGCUUUUUGAAUUCGUGCAGGGACCUCGUCAGACAUUGACCCAUUUGGGCUGAUCAGACUUCCAAGAUAAGUGAAGCU